rnacentral:rRNA from 1 species
UACGUAGGGGGCGAGCGUUGUCCGGAUUCAUUGGGCGUAAAGAGCUCGUAGGCGGCUUGGCAAGUCGGGUGUGAAAACUCCAGGCUCAACCUGGAGACGCCACCCGAUACUGCCAUGGCUUGAGUCCGGUAGGGGACCACGGAAUUCCCGGUGUAGCGGUGAAAUGCGCAGAUAUCGGGAGGAACACCGGUGGCGAAGGCGGUUCUCUGGGCCUGUACUGACGCUGAGGAGCGAAAGCGUGGGGAGCGAACAGG